rnacentral:rRNA from 1 species
GACGAACGCUGGCGGCAUGCCUAACACAUGCAAGUCGAGCGAGCAGAUCCCUUCGGGGUGAAGCUAGCGGCGGACGGGUGAGUAACACGUGGGCAACCUGCCUCAUAGAGGGGAAUAGCCUUCCGAGAGGAAGAUUAAUACCGCAUAAGAUUGUAGCUUCGCAUGAAGCAGCAAUUAAAGGAGCAAUCCGCUAUGAGAUGGGCCCGCGGCGCAUUAGCUAGUUGGUGAGGUAACGGCGCACCAAGGCGACGAUGCGUAGCCGACCUGAGAGGGUGAGCGGACACAUUGGGACUGAGACACGGCCAAGACUCCUACGGGAGGCAGCAGUGGGGAAUAUUGCAAGAUGGGGGAAACCCUGAUGCAGCAAUGCCGCGUGGGUGAUGACGGCCUUCGGGUUGUAAAGCUCUGUCUUCGGGGACGAUAAUGACGGUACCCGAGGAGGAAGCCACGGCUAACUACGUGCCAGCAGCCGCCGUAA